ACACCCCCAGACCGUCAGCCAUGGCUGUGCUCACUCUCUGCCUUCUGUGGGCCUUAACAGCAGCAGUGCGACCUGCCCCAGUAUCUCCUCUGGGUGGUCCAGAGCCAGCUCAAUAUGAAGAGCUGACCCUGCUCUUUCACGGGGCUUUACAGCUAGGCCAGUCCCUCAACAGCGUGUACAGAGCCACAGAGGCGCGUCUGACCGAAGCUGGGCACAGCCUGGGCCUCUAUGACAGAGCCUUGGGACUCCUGGGCUCAGAGGUCAGUCAAGGCCGGGAUGCAACACAGGAGCUUCGCACCAGCUUGUCGGAGAUUCAGGCUGAAGAGGAUGUACUGCACCUUCGAGCAGAGGCCACAGCCCUGUCAUUGGGAGAAGUGGACCAGGCCCAGCAAGCUCUACGGGACACUGUACGGAGACUUCAAGUCCAGCUGAAAGGCGCCUGGCUGGGCCAAGCCCACCAAGAAUUUGAGACCUUAAAGGCUCGAGCAGAUAAACAGAGCCACCUUUUAUGGGCGCUCACGGGCCACGUGCAGCGACAGCGGCGGGAGAUAGCAGAGCAGCAAGAGUGGCUGCGGCAGAUCCAGGAGAGACUCCACACAGCAGCCCUUCCGGCCUGAGACCGCCUGGAUGCCAUCGAGAACCAGUCAUACCACAAGGAACACUGAAUGCAAUCCACGAGGCUCCUGAGCAGGGCAGACAGAGCUGCCCGCCAGCUGGGCUUGGCCAGUGCGCCCCGCUUCCUGACAUAGACCGGAGACAGAAGCAAGCAGGCGGGAUGGAAGGCAGAAGACAGAGCCCCGUGGAAGAGGGCUGGAGAAAAGGACCCGUCCACAUCCAUCACUCGCCAGAUGGCUCACAACCACCUGAAAUUCCAACUCCAGGGGAUCCAAAGUCCCUGGUCUCCUCAGCACCCCACACACAGGCCCCUGUCCUAUACCAAGGUCACCUGUUUAAAGAAGUUGGUGACAGUUAAAGUGGCUGGGCGGAAGCUGGAGAAGCUGCAGGCAUCAUCCCCACUACAGCCUCGAUCCUGGGGCCCCCGACGGCGGCGUUCUGCCCAGAAUUUAUUUUUAAUUAUGCACGUGUCUGAGUGUAAGUGCAGUGCCCAUGGUGGCCAGAAGAGGGCACUGGAUCCAACUAGCAUGGGUGCUGGAAAUUGAACAAAAGUCUUCAGCAAGAACAGUGGGUGCUCAACUGCUAAAGCAUCUCUCAAGCCCCCAGCCCCCAUUUCUCUUGUUUUGAGACAAGUUCACACUGUAGAGCCCUGGUUGUCGUGGAACUUGCUCUGUAGACCAGGCUGGCCUCUAACUCACUGAGAUCCACCUGCCUCUGCCUCCUGAGUUCUGGGAUUAGAGGUGUGUGCCACCAGCAUCUCUUUAUCUUUAUCUUCCACUGGGGAUAGUGGAAACCAGGGCCUCCUUUAUCACUGAGCCACACUCCCAGGCCCUCACUGAAGGAUUCUAGGAAAACAUCCUACUGCUGAGCCACGCCCUUUCCACUUUUAUUUUGAAAUUGAGUCUCAUGGGCUGGAUUCAGAUUUGCAAUCCCCCUGUGUUCUGGUUGGCUUUUUGUCAGCUUGACACCUGCCAGCGUUUUCUGGGAGGAUGGAAUUUCAAUGAAGAAAACACCUCUCCUCAGAUUGGCCCGUAGGCCAGUCUGCGGCAUUUUCUUGAUUAAUAUUGAUGUGGGAGGCAUCAUUGUGGGUGGUGCCUCUCUGGGCAGGUGGCCCCGGACUAUAUAAGGCAGGCUGGCGAGUCAGGAAGAGCAAGCCAGGAAGCAAGCAGCACUCCUCCAUGGCCUCUGCUUGAGUUCCUGCCCCGACUUCCCUACACGAUGGAAUGACCCGAGAAGUAUAAUCUGAAAUAAAUCAUUUUCUCCCCAA